CUUUCUUGCCAGUAAUGUCCCUUUUUCCUAGGCUAGUCCUUCUUUACAGACGCAACGAAAGUAAGCCAUGUAUCACAAUUCCCCCCAAAAAGGUGUUCACUACAUUAACUUUCUUUAAAAAACAAACUAUAAGCCAUAUCUUAACCUUUAAAAUAUCAGUGAUAUCCGCAUCAUAUGAAAGGUACAAUUAUAUAAUAGUGCCAACACGCUCUUAAUAAAAUGGACAAUAAAAGACAACCAACUUAAGACUCCAGUAAACAGCCAUCCUGCUUUUUUAGUAGAUCCUACAAGAGGUAGCGUGUGCUAACACUGCAACAUAUCCCAUUAUUAUCGAGCGGUUUUAACAUUAUUUUACAG